GCACCGGUAGCUCAGCUGGAUAGAGCACCUGACUUCGAAUCAGGUGGUCGGGGGUUCGAAUCCCUCUCGGUGCACCA
rnacentral:tRNA from 1 species